GAUGAAGAACGUAGCGAAAUGCGAUAAGUAAUGUGAAUUGCAGAAUUCAGUGAAUCAUCGAAUCUUUGAACGCACAUUGCGCCCGCCAGUAUUCUGGCGGGCAUGCCUGUUCGAGCGUCAUUUCAACCAUCAAGCCCCCGGCUUGUGUUGGGGACCUGCGGCUGCCGCAGGCCCUGAACACCAGUGGCGGGCUCGCUAGUCACUCCGAGCGUAGUAAUACAUCUCGCUCAGGGCGUGCUGCGGGUUCCGGCCGUUAAAAAAGCCUUAUUUACCCAAGGUUGACCUCGGAUCAGGUAGGAAGACCCGCUGAACUUAAGCAUAUCAAUAAGCGGAGGA
rnacentral:misc_RNA from 1 species